AACAAUUCUAAGCGUUGGUGGGGGCUGAGGUUUCAGAUGAACUGCUUGCAGAAUCACCUGUUGUGGGGUUCAAAGGCGAGCGAGUCGCAAGGGAGCCAUUGUCACCGUCGUUCUGCGACACGACUGGGAUCUUCACGGCUGAUCUUUCCAACUCCUUCUCGAGCUCUUCUUCCCGACGCAGUGCGGUGAAUUGGCUGUCUAGGGAUCUGGCUGCUCCCAACCAUGCCAGCACAAUAACCAACAGGACACCUCCAAGGUAUGGAGUCGAGUUUGCAAGAGAUCCGAAUGUCAGGAUCAUGAACUGUUGAAUGAGAGCACCUCCAGAUUUCCCCAACGGGUUGCAGACGACAUCAAUGGCAGCCUUCCCUUUAACCUUGGUAUCCUCAUCCAAAGGAAUGUAAGCCAUUUCUUUGCAAGGAUCAAACAAACUGUAUUUGGCACUCUUGCUGAAGAUGUUUUGCAUAGCACCCACAUAAACAGCAGCAAGA
rnacentral:misc_RNA from 1 species